rnacentral:rRNA from 1 species
CUACGGGCCGCAGCAGUGGGGGAUAUUGCACAAUGGAGGAAACUCUGAUGCAGCAACGCCGCGUGAAGGAAGACGGUUUUCGGAUUGUAAACUUCUAUCAGCUGGGAAGAAAAUGACGGUACCAGACUAAGAAGCCCCGGCUAACUACGUGCCAGCAGCCGCGGUAAUACGUAGGGGGCAAGCGUUAUCCGGAUUUACUGGGUGUAAAGGGUUCGUAGGCGGUUAUUUAAGUCAGAUGUGAAAGCCCGAGGCUCAACCUCGGGACUGCAUUUGAAACUGGAUAACUAGAGUACAGGAGAGGAAAGCGGAAUUCCUAGUGUAGCGGUGAAAUGCGUAGAUAUUAGGAAGAACACCAGUGGCGAAGGCGGCUUUCUGGACUGUAACUGACGCUGAUGAACGAAAGCGUGGGGAGCGAACAGGAUUAGAUACCCUUGUAGUC